UUUGUAUAGAGAGUUAAAUGGACAAAGCAGUGGAAUUUUUCGAUGAUAUGGUUGCACGUGGUUAUCAACCUGAUGUUCGUACUUUCACUGUGAUAGUAAACGGAAUGUGUAAAUUUGGGAAAACAAAUGUGGCUAUUGGGCUACUAAAGGGAAUGGCUGAUAGAGGUUGUGAGCCAAAUGUUGUGACAUACAGUGCAAUCAUUGACGCCCUUUGCAAAGAUGAGCUAGUUGGUGAGGCUUUAGAGCUCUUCUCUCAAAUGAGGAAUAAGGGCAUUUCACCUUAUGUCAUCACUUACACUGGUUUAAUUCAUGGUUUUUGCAAAUUAGGUCAAAAGAACCAAGCUUUGGCCUUGAUGAAUGAAAUGAUGGAGCAAAACAUAUUACCAAAUGUUUAUACCUUCAGUGUAUUGAUUGAUGCUCUUUGUAAGGAUGGAAUGGUUUCAGAGGCUCAAAAUACAUUCAAUGUAAUGAUUCAAAGAGGUGUAGAGCCUGAUGUGGUCACCUACAAUUCCUUAAUUGAUGGUCUUUGCAUUUCAGACCAAUUCAAGGAAGCUUUGGCCUUAUUGAAAGAAAUGGUGGGGAGGAACAUAUCCCCUGAUGUUUUUACCUUCAAUAUAUUGAUCGACACUCUUUGUAAGAAAGGACUGGUUUCAAAUGCACAGAAUAUAAUCAAGAUAAUGAUUCAAAGAGGUGUGGAACCUGAUGUUGUCAAUUAUAAUUCAUUGAUGGAUGGAUAUUGUCUGUGCAAGCAAAUUGAUAAGGCUAGAAAGGUAUUUGAUCUGAUGGUGACCAAUGAGAUAGCUGAUAUUUUUAGCUACAACAUUUUGAUCAAUGGAUAUUGUAUGUGCAAAAUGAUAGAUGAUGCAAAGGAUAUUUUUGUUGAAAUGUCUCAUAAAGGUUUAGUUCCUGAUGGUGUUACUUAUUCUACUCUUAUAGAGGGUAUGUUUCAAGCAGGGAGGCCCCAAACUGCACAGGAGCUGUUUAAGAAUGUGUGCUCUCAUGGUCAACAGCCAAAUAUAGUAACCUUCUCAAUUAUGAUUAAUGGCUUGUGUAGACAGGGGAAUCUGGAUGAAGCACUCACCCUAUUGAAAGAAAUGGAGGAAAGUCAGUUGAAGCCUGAUCUUGUGACCUAUUGCAUUCUGAUCAAUGUGCAAUUAUGAAAGGACUCUGCCAACAAGGAUUAAUGGAUGAAGCGUAUAAGAUUUUUAGAGACAUGGAAAAGGGAGGAUGUUUACCGAAUAAUUGGUGUUAUAAUAUCAUCAUUCAAGGGUUUCUCAAGCAUGAGGAUUUACCAAAAGCAUCAGAACUAAUCAAUGAAAUGGUUGACAAGGGAUUCUCUGCCGAUGCUACUACCACCGAAUUGGUAGUACGUUUAUUGUGCAAUGAUGAUCUCAUUCUGAGGCUUUUAAAGGUGCGCAAUGAGGGAUCAGCAAACUAAAGUUGUUAUAUCUUGACCAUUCAAGUGUGUCUUGGAGCACAACUUGACAUGGACUUGAUCUCUUUGAUAUAAGAUUGUUGAUGAAUGGGGGUCAUGGA